GCAGUGGUUGUUCAGUGGUAGAAUUUUCACCUUUCAAGCGGGAGAAGUGGGUUCGAUUCCUGGCCAAUGUA
rnacentral:tRNA from 1 species